GGCGAGGUAGCUCAGUGGCAGAGCAGGGGACUCAUAAGCCCUUUGUCGUGGGUUCGACUCCCACCCUCGCCACAA
rnacentral:tRNA from 1 species